CUCGCCCUAGCUCCUGCCUCCCCGAUUUCCCCUUUAGUGUCGAGUCAUAGAGGAAAGGGGGGGUUGUCGUGACCCCUCCACCGGCACCUCACUUGACUCCCCCAAAUCAGAGCAUCCGUCUCUCGCCCAGCAAAGGGGGCUCUCCGGGGGGUCCUGCCACCCACCCCCUUGGGAAAAAAGCUUGUUGUAACAAUUUUUAGGCGAAGAAGACAAAAGGCCAAGGAGGGGUUCGUUACCCUCCCCCGGGGACUCUGCCCCCCACAAUGGGGCGCUCCCUGCUCAGGGAGGGGGGGCACCGGCAGGG